UAAGGAAUAUUGGUCAAUGGACGCAAGUCCGAACCAGCCAUGCCGCGUGAAGGAUGAAGGUCCUCUGGAUUGUAAACUUCUUUUAUCUGGGACGAAAACGGGAUUUUUAUCUCAAUUGACGGUACCAGAGGAAUAAGCACCGGCUAACUCCGUGCCAGCAGCCGCGGUAAUACGGAGGGUGCGAGCGUUAUCCGGAUUUACUGGGUUUAAAGGGUGCGUAGGUGGCUUAUCAGUCAGUGGUGAAAUCUCCGAGCUUAACUUGGAAACUGCCGUUGAUACUAUAGGUCAUGAAUUAUCUGGAGGUAAGCGGAAUAUGUCAUGUAGCGGUGAAAUGCUUAGAUAUGACAUAGAACACCAAUUGCGAAGGCAGCUUACUACAUAUAAAUUGACGCUGAGGCACGAAAGCGUGGGGAUCAAACA
rnacentral:rRNA from 1 species